rnacentral:rRNA from 1 species
CCUACGGGAGGCAGCAGUGGGGAAUAUUGGGCAAUGGGCGCAAGCCUGACCCAGCAACGCCGCGUGAAGGAAGAAGGCUUUCGGGUUGUAAACUUCUUUUAAGAGGGAAGAGCAGAAGACGGUACCUCUUGAAUAAGCCACGGCUAAAUACGUGCCAGCAGCCGCGGUAAUACGUAGGUGGCAAGCGUUGUCCGGAUUUACUGGGUGUAAAGGGCGUGUAGCCGGGCUGACAAGUCAGAUGUGAAAUUCCGGGGCCCAACCCCGGACCUGCAUUUGAAACUGUUGGUCUUGAGUGUCGGAGAGGCAGGCGGAAUGCCUAGUGUAGCGGUGAAAUGCGUAGAUAUUAGGAGGAACACCAGUGGCGAAGGCGGCCUGCUGGACGACAACUGACGGUGAGGCGCGAAAGCGUGGGUAUCGAACAGGAUUAGAUACCCCUGUAGUC